GACGAACGCUGGCGGCAUGCCUAAUACAUGCAAGUCGAACGCACGAAGUUGAAAAGCUUGCUUUUCGACCAAGUGAGUGGCGGACGGGUGAGUAACACGUGGGUAACCUGCCCAUAAGAGGGGGAUAACAUUCGGAAACGGAUGCUAAUACCGCAUAUUUCAAGUGACCGCAUGGUCGCUUGAUGAAAGGUGGCUUCGGCUACCGCUUAUGGAUGGACCCGCGGUGCAUUAGUUAGUUGGUGAGGUAAUGGCUCACCAAGACCAUGAUGCAUAGCCGACCUGAGAGGGUGAUCGGCCACACUGGGACUGAGACACGGCCCAGACUCCUACGGGAGGCAGCAGUAGGGAAUCUUCCGCAAUGGACGAAAGUCUGACGGAGCAAUGCCGCGUGAGUGAAGAAGGUUUUCGGAUCGUAAAACUCUGUUGUUAGAGAAGAACAAGGAUGAGAGUAACUGCUCAUCCCCUGACGGUAUCUAACCAGAAAGCCACGGCUAACUACGUGCCAGCAGCCGCGGUAAUACGUAGGUGGCAAGCGUUGUCCGGAUUUAUUGGGCGUAAAGCGAGCGCAGGCGGUUCUUUAAGUCUGAUGUGAAAGCCCCCGGCUCAACCGGGGAGGGUCAUUGGAAACUGGAGAACUUGAGUGCAGAAGAGGAGAGUGGAAUUCCAUGUGUAGCGGUGAAAUGCGUAGAUAUAUGGAGGAACACCAGUGGCGAAGGCGACUCUCUGGUCUGUAACUGACGCUGAGGCUCGAAAGCGUGGGGAGCAAACAGGAU
rnacentral:rRNA from 1 species